rnacentral:rRNA from 1 species
CCCUUAGAUGUUCUGGGCCGCACGCGCGCUACACUGAUGCAUUCAACGAGUUUCUUCCUGGUCCGAGAGGAAUGGGUAACCUUUUGAAAGUGCAUCGUGAUAGGGAUAGACUAUUGCAAUUAUUGGUCUUCAACGAGGAAUUCCUAGUAGACGUAGUUCAUCAGACUGCAUCGAUUACGUCCCUGCCCUUUGUACACACCGCCCGUCGCUACUGCCGACUGAGAUGUGGGUCCCAAAGUGUUAGGAUUGCCCCGCUGCGAGGCCUACCCGGCCCCGAUUGCGGUCACGGCAAGAAUAUCAUUAAGUGGAAUGUCUUGUAGGGAGUAAAAGUCGUAACA